rnacentral:rRNA from 1 species
GGACGAACGCUGGCGGCGUGCUUAACACAUGCAAGUCGAGCGAUGAAACUUCUUCGGAAGUGGAUUAGCGGCGGACGGGUGAGUAACACGUGGGUAACCUGCCUCAUAGAGGGGAAUAGCCUUCCGAAAGGAAGAUUAAUACCGCAUAAGAUUGUAAUAUCGCAUGAUAUAGCAAUUAAAGGAGUAAUCCGCUAUGAGAUGGACCCGCGUCGCAUUAGCUAGUUGGUGAGGUAACGGCCUACCAAGACGACGAUGGGUAGGGGUUCUGAGAGGAAGGUCCCCCACACUGGUACUGAGACACGGCCCAGACUCCUACGGGAGGCAGCAGUGGGGAAUAUUGCACAAUGGGGGAAACCCUGAUGCAGCAACGCCGCGUGAGUGAUGACGGUCUUCGGAUUGUAAAGCUCUGUCUUUAGGGACGAUAAUGACGGUACCCAAGGAGGAAGCCACGGCUAACUACGUG